AUUACUCUAGCUAGUAUAGUGUUUUGGUUUAGCAACUCUAGUUGAUUCGUGGUCUGAUCUACAGCAGAUUCUACACAUCGAUUGACGUUCUUUACCAUUUAGCAACUUAACUUAAGCUAGCCGUUUUGGAUUGAUGGCUGAUAUGAGUAUGUGCUAUGAGGAAUACUCGUUGAUUUGUGAACAAUCUGAAUCAUGGCUGAUAUAAAUUCAAAUUCAGUGUGUUAUUACUUUGUUGUGACUGUUUGUUGCAGCAUGGUUCUGUUAUACAUAAAUGGUUGCUCUGAAACCAAAUUAGGAGCAUUUCAAAAUUAUGGCUGCUAUGAAUUAAAAAGGGCUCCACAAGCUUUCCCUAGUAGUAGUACUCAAAGGCAAUGAAUAUUUACUGCCAAACCGAUAAUUCUCAAACUGAGCGGAGGGGCUCAAUUCUUUACCAGCUGCAAAGAGGAACGCUAGUGAGUAUAAUUACUACUCCCUCUAUCCCAAAAUAUAAGAACGUUUUUUACAUUACACUAGUGUUAAAAACAUUCUUAUAUUUUGGGACAGAGGGAGUAGUACAGUAGUGUCAUGAAGUCUCUGGCAGGUGCACGUAUACAGUAGUACAAGUAUGCCGGAGUAAUUAUUGUAUCUGAAUCCGUGUCUCAGCUGUAUGACCUACUGCACUGAAUAAUUACAUGAGCCAAAAACAGUACCGUUGGGAGGGAUAAGAUCCGUCUGCCAGAGACUUGGUGCAUCUUCUAGCGCUUUGCCAUGAUGAUGCCGUCCACCCACCCAAAGCGAAAGCACUGCUUUCCUUUCUUCUGUACCUUGUCCCACAUCCAACGCAUCGACCACUGAGCAAACACAUGAGCCAAAGGCAUUACGUACUAUUCCGAGGCGGGAUUCCUAUCUUGACUGCUCUUGUUGGUCUUCCUCUGCUCCUCCGCCUCUCAUUCUCAUCUCCUCCUCUCCUCCAUUGCGUCGCGUUGCCUGGAAAAGAUCCGCGUCCAACCUCCACUGAGUGCUCGCCCCUGCCAACUCACUGCCGGGAGACCUUGACGGCCGCGGAGCAUUUGUGUUGGGUGGCAGUGAAAAACUUGCUAGCAAGAACCAUGGAGUUUCCAAUCAUUCAGAGCUGACCGCUGACCUGGAUAUCGGGAGCAGUGAGCCAGUGACGCAUCUGGACUCUGGUGCGCCGCCGCCGCUUCCGCUUCCGCUUCUGCUUCCUUGUCCCCUCCUAUCGACGAGGGCGCCCCCGCUGUGUUCUGCUCUCCGGUGAAGCACCAAAGUUUUCCAGCUGAUUGGGCAUGGAGGUCGUCACGGGUGCCAUGGGCAGCCUGCUCCCCAAGCUGGGCCAGCUGCUCAUGGAUGAGUACAACCUGCUCAAGCGCGUCAAGAAAGACGUCCGAUUUCUGUCCAUGGAGCUUGAGAGCAUGCAUGCUGCCCUCAUCAAGGUUGGUGCCAUGCCGCGGGACCAGCUCGACACGCAAGUCAAGCUCUGGGCCGAUGAAGUCAGAGAGCUCUCCUACAACAUGGAGGAUGUCGUCGACAAGUUCCUCGUACGCGUUGAAGGUAUUCAGCAGCCUAACGACAACACCGGCAAAUUCAAGGAGCUCAAGAACAAGAUGGUCAGAUUGUUCAAGAAAGGCAAGAAUCACCAUCGGAUAGCUGACGCCGUCAAGGAAAUCAAGGAGCAACUCCAGGAGGUGGCUGCUAGGCGUGGCAGGAACAAGCUCGAUGGUAUUGCUUUUAAUCCCACAGAAGCAAUUGCUAUCGAUCCUCGGCUUCGGGCAUUGUACACAGAAGCGACAGAGCUGGUGGGCAUUUAUGGAAAGAGAGAUGAAGACCUCUUAAGUUUGCUCUCCAUUGAGGGUGACGAUGCAUCUAACAAGAAACUGAAGAAGAUCUCCAUUGUUGGAUUUGGAGGGUUGGGAAAGACCACUCUUGCUAGAGCAGUAUAUGACAAGAUUAAAGGUGAUUUUGAUUGUCGGACAUUUGUCCCCGUCGGUCAGAACCCUGAUGUCAAGAAGGUUUUCAGGGAUAUCCUUAUUGAUCUCGGAAAAUCCCACUCAGAUGUUGUCAUGUUGGAUGAAAGGCAGCUUAUCAACAAGCUUCAUGAAUUCCUCGAGAACAAGAGGUAUCUGGUCAUAAUUGAUGAUAUAUGGGAUGAAAAAUUGUGGGAAGGCAUCAACUUGGCUUUCUCUAACAGGAAUAAUCUAGGCAGUCGGCUAAUCACCACAACCCGCAUUGUUAGUGUCUCCAAUUCAUGUUGCUCGUCGGCUAAUGAUUCGAUUUAUCAAAUGAAACCUCUUUCUACUGAUGAUUCCAGAAGGCUCUUCAAUAAGAGAAUAUUUCCCGACAAGAGUGGAUGUCCAAAUGAAUUUGAACAAGUGUCCAAAGAUAUAUUGAAAAAAUGUGGUGGAGUACCACUGGCCAUCAUUACUAUUGCUAGUGCUUUGGCUAGUGGCCAGAAGGUGAAACCAAAGCAUGAGUGGGAUAUUAUGCUCCAGUCCCUUGGCUCCGGACUAACAAAAGAUAACAGUUUGGUUGAGAUGCGGAGAAUACUAUGUUUCAGCUAUUAUAAUCUGCCGUCUCAUCUGAAAACUUGUCUACUUUACCUAUGUAUAUAUCCAGAAGAUAGCACAAUUGAUAGAGAUGGACUGAUAUGGAAGUGGGUGGCCGAAGGAUUUAUCCACCAUGGAGAUCAAGGGACUAGCCUGUUUUUGCUUGGAUUAAAUUACUUCAACCAGCUCAUUAAUAGAAGUAUGAUCCAGCCAAUAUAUGAUAGUUUAGGCCAGGUAUAUGCUUGUCGUGUGCAUGAUAUGGUUCUGGACCUUAUCUGCAGCUUGUCACAUGAAGCAAAGUUUGUUAAUGUAUUGCAUGGCACUGGGAAUAGCAUAUCUUCACAAAGUAAUGUCCGCCGUCUGUCCCUUCAGAAUAAAGUGGAAGAUCAUCAAGCCAAGCCUCUCACAAAUAUCAUGAGUAUGUCACGAGUGAGGUCAAUUACUAUCUUUCCACCUGUUGUUAGUAUGAUGCCAAGUCUGUCAAUGUUUGAAGUUCUGCGUGUACUUGAUCUGUCGGAUUGUAAUCUGGGAGAAAGUAGCAGCCUGCAGCUUAACCUCAAGGGUGUUGGACAUUUAAUCCACCUAAGGUACCUUGGUCUAGCAGGUACUCAAAUUAGUGAACUCUCGACUGAGAUAGGAAACCUGCAAUUUUUGGAGGUGUUGGAUCUUGCAAGGAAUCGUACGCUAGAUGAAUUGCCUUCCACUCUUUUUAAAUUGAGAAGAUUAAUCUACCUAAAUGUUUAUCUCAGUGAGGUGGUUCCAACUCCUGGUGUGUUGCAGAAUCUUACAUCCAUUGAAGUGUUCAGGGGGCUCUUGGUCUCUCUGAACAUCAUUGCACAAGAGCUUGGCAACUUGGCAAGGCUGAGGGAGCUUCAGAUUCGCUUCAAGGAUGGUAGUUUGGAUUUGUAUGAAGGUUUCGUGAAGUCUCUGUGCAACCUACAUCACAUCGAAAUUCUAAUUAUUGGUAACAAUUCGGAAGAAACAUCUUUUGAACUGAUGGAUCUCUUGGGAGAACGCUGGGUGCCUCCUGUACAUCUCCGCAAAUUUGUGUCUUCCAUGCCCAGCCAACUCUCUGCACUGCGAGGGUGGAUAAAGAGAGACCCCUCUCAUCUCUCGAACCUCUCUGAGUUAAUCCUUAUGCGAGUGAAGGAAGUGCAGCAGGAGGACAUGGAAAUCAUUGGGGGUUUGCUGUCCCUUUGCCGGCUCCGCAUAAAGAUCACCCACCAAACACAAUGGCUGCUAGUUAUCCCUGCAGAUGGGUUCCGCUGUAUGGUAGACUUUAAGCUGGAUUGUGGAUCAGCAGCGCAGAUAAUGUUUGAAUCAGGUGCUUUGCCCAGGGUGGAAGAAGUUUGGUUCAGUCUGGGCGUGCGGGUGGCGAAAGAGGAUGGUAACUAUGGUUUCGACUUGGGCCUGCAGGGGAACCUGCUCUCCAUUCGGCGGCAUGUUAUUGUUUUUCUGUAUCCUGGUGGAGCGAGGGUUGGGGAGGCAAAGGAAGCCAAGGCUGCAGUGAGGCACGCACUUGAAGCCCGUCCCAACCAUCCCCCGAUUAUAAUUGAUAUGGUCCCACUUAUAGCAGUGCGCAUGAUGAUGAUAUGUGUGAGGAGAACUGAUUUAUGACGCAGAGAGAUUCACAGUGCAUCAGGUGUGCUCUUGGUAUGUAGCAGGGGCGCUGGGUUACUGCUGGUGGCAUCCGAGAGCUGAAGGAUGGCAUCUGAGAAAUUGUGUGAUGAGCUUCUUUUGAAUGGCACUCAGCUUGCAGAAAGAGAUAUUGCUUGGUUUCGUAACGAAUAAGGGGUGCAGGCAGAUUCAGAGAAGGACCUCACCAGGUCGGCUUGCCGCUGCUAGCUACGUCGCCUCGCGGAGCACUGGGCGCGGCGGCUGCUCCGCUUCUCAAUGUUGUGGGCUGGGCUCGACGUAAAUUUAUUUCUUGCUCCAACAUUGGGCAGGUCGCGACCCACAGGGCCAAGGUACGCUAUCGGGUGCUAAACACGCAGUGGAGGGCGCAACUAUGUGUCGCUUAUGAGCAGUGCUACACGGACGAUGGCUUUCUGCACGAUUUAUGCACGAUGGACAAAAGCAACCGUUGGAUUGUAUUGUCUUACAAAUCUGCACUGUCCAAGGAAUGCAUCGUCCAGGAAUCGUGCAUGCACAAUCGUGUGCAGAGUAGUUUCGGUCGCUUAUUGCCAGACCAAACUAGGUCUCACCUCAAGCGCAUGUGACAAUGGGCUGGCCUACUAACCACAUGGUCCCGUCAUGCUAAUGUCACCUGUGUUUUAUUUUCAUUUUUACUUUUGUUUAUAUUUUCAAAAACACUAAUACAUAUAUUAUGAAAAAAUAUUUAGUUAAUUUUGUUUAGCAAAAA